GACGAACGCUGGCGGCGUGCUUAACACAUGCAAGUCGAACGGUGAAGGAAAGCUUGCUUUCUGGAUCAGUGGCGAACGGGUGAGUAACACGUGGGCAAUCUGCCCCAGACUCUGGGAUAACUCUUCGAAAGAGGGGCUAAUACCGGAUAUUCGGGUUUGAAGACAUCUUCGAAUUCGGAAAGUUUUUCGGUCUGGGAUGAGCCCGCGGCCUAUCAGCUUGUUGGUGAGGUAACGGCUCACCAAGGCAACGACGGGUAGCCGGCCUGAGAGGGCGACCGGCCACACUGGGACUGAGACACGGCCCAGACUCCUACGGGAGGCAGCAGUGGGGAAUAUUGGUCAAUGGACGAAAGUCUGAACCAGCAACGCCGCGUGAGGGAUGAAGGUCUUCGGAUUGUAAACCUCUUUCAGCAGGGACGAAGCGAAAGUGACGGUACCUGCAAAAGAAGCACCGGCUAACUACGUGCCAGCCGCCGCAGUAA
rnacentral:rRNA from 1 species